UACGGAGGGUGCAAGCGUUAUCCGGAUUUACUGGGUUUAAAGGGAGCGUAGGUGGGUCGGUAAGUCAGUGGUGAAAUCUUCGAGCUUAACUCGGAAACUGCCAUUGAUACUAUCGAUCUUGAAUUAUCUGGAGGUAAGCGGAAUAUGUCAUGUAGCGGUGAAAUGCUUAGAUAUGACAUAGAACACCCAUUGCGAAGGCAGCUUACUACGGAUAUAUUGACACUGAGGCUCGAAAAGCGUGGGGGAUCAAAACAGG
rnacentral:rRNA from 1 species